rnacentral:rRNA from 1 species
UACAGAGGGUGCAAGCGUUGUUCGGAAUCAUUGGGCGUAAAGCGCGCGUAGGCGGCCCUGUAAGUCCGUUGUGAAAGUCAAAGGCUCAACCUUUGAAAGCCGAUGGAUACUGCAGGGCUAGAGUCCGGAAGAGGCGAGUGGAAUUCCUGGUGUAGCGGUGGAAUGCGCAGAUAUCAGGAGGAACACCAAUAGCGAAGGCAGCUCGCUGGGACGGUACUGACGCUAAGGCGCGAAAGCGUGGGGGAGCGAACAGG